GCCUCACACCAGUGAUGAUGUCCUGUUUAACAUCUGUCAACACCUGAAGCUGAAAGGCAAGAGAGGCCCAGCUCUGUCUGAAUGUAACGGUGGUUUCACAUUACAAACCUUUCUGGGAGCUCUGUAAUGGUUUGCUCCAUAGACUAUGAACAUCUCCAGCUGUGAAACUACAAGACGAAACACUCACUUAUCUAAAUCAAGAUUUAUGUAGGUCAGUCCUAUGAAAUCCGUAUGCUUGACAGAAAACUAGCUGAGUGUAAAGGUAUAAGCUGCAAAUAUAUUAAGUGCUUCCCUUGGCCUGAAGCCCCAUCUAUCAACACUACAAGAAACACUACAUCUCCUCUUUAUCCCAGAAGUCCUGCUUCAUACAGCUUUCAAGAGGGAUGAGUCCUGGCGUUGGCUAUACUUUGCUUUUCUCGCACACAAGAUAAAAGCAUUAAUACCCCAAAAGCCCACUGCUCUCCCAUCUUACUGUGUUUAUAGAAACUGCUCUCCAGACCAGCAGGGGGAGCUUGUUCUGCCCACCUACUUUGAUGUAAGUAUUUAAAGAUAGUUAAAGCAUUAAUGCCUUCCUCUUUUAUUUUAUAGGUGUGUGUUUGAGGACAUGGAUGAUGCUAUGCUCAUUACAGGGAUUCUUAUUAUUUUUGCCAUGUAGCACCUGUUGCCUUUGUCCUCCGCGCAUGACACACAGCAGUGGUUGCAUCGUAAUAGGUUCUCAUCUUAAGG